GGAUACUGACCUGCCACCCUUCAUUUUGUAACAAUUUAUGAGACAGACCUGUUUUAUACGUUUGAAGACAUGAAGAUGGCAUCACCCGGGAUGUCUUUUCAGGCAUAUCUAAGAAUGCUUGAGAAGCGGACUGCUGGCUUUGGCCGUACUGGGAAGAUCUCAUCAGACAGCUUCCAAAAAAAGCUUUUUUUGAAUGGGCUGCUGUACAAUAUGAGGUUGACUCCACCUGCAAGGAGGAGAAAUUCAUCUGUCCUGCCUGUACCCCAGCAAUGCUUUCUGUCUCGGUGGAUGGAAACUGCAAGCGUUACCGCUUCAAAAGUACUGCAAGAUCUCAGGAGCGGGCCAUUUUUGACAGUGUCUUCAUUGCAAAAGAUGACGAUGUGACCAGAUUUGUGGAUCACAUCCACAGCAAAAAUAAACAUGUCACUGGAAGGAGCAAUUGUGGUGGGG